CACACGGAAGAAAAAAGAAAGAAAGGAAGGAAGGAAGGAAGGGAUGUAAGAAAGGAAUCACAUCACAAAGUUCGUCUCUCCAUCCUCCCUAUCCUCCUCUCUUUUAUGAAUGCAUCACAGUUUCAUUCUCUUCGAUGGGUGUUGGAGCUGAUUACAGACGAAGGUGUUAGUUGCUGC
rnacentral:ribozyme from 1 species